rnacentral:rRNA from 1 species
AGCGAACGCUGGCGGCAGGCUUAACACAUGCAAGUCGAGCGGGCACUUUCGGGUGUCAGCGGCGGACGGGUGAGUAACGCGUGGGAACGUGCCCUCUGGUUCGGAAUAACUCAGGGAAACUUGAGCUAAUACCGGAUACGCCCUUUUGGGGAAAGGCUUGCUGCCGGAGGAUCGGCCCGCGUCUGAUUCGCUAGUUGGUGAGGUAACGGCUCACCAAGGCGACGAUCAGUAGCUGGUCUGAGAGGAUGAUCAGCCACACUGGGACUGAGACACGGCCCAGACUCCUACGGGACGCAGCAGUGGGGAAUAUUGGACAAUGGGCGCAAGCCUGAUCCAGCCAUGCCGCGUGAGUGAUGAAGGCCUUAGGGUUGUAAAGCUCUUUUAUCCGGGACGAUAAUGACGGUACCGGAGGAAUAAGCCCCGGCUAACUUCGUG